UGUGGAGCCGCACCUGAAAUUCCCAAUGCUUAUAUUACAAGCACUCACCAGGAGAGGUAUCUGCCCAGUGCCAGAGUGCAGUAUGAAUGUGAAAGCAAUUUUCAAAUGAUGGGUGGAAAUUAUGUCACUUGUAGAAACGGAGAAUGGUCACAAGCACCAAUCUGCAGAGAUGUGACAUGUGAACCUCCUCCAGAAAUUGCGGGUGGUAACGUUCAAGGUGU